CUGGGAUUGGCUUAGUGGUAGAGUGCUUGCCUAGCAUGCAUGAAACCCUGGGUUUGAUUCCUCGGUACCACA
rnacentral:tRNA from 1 species